GUCACUGGUUCGGCACAGGACUGGGCGAUCCUGCGUGCCAUUGCCACAGCUGACGGAGCACUGUGACCAGGGUCCUAUUCUCCACUGUGCUGGACAGAGCUCCCGGUUGCAAGGCCUCCUGCCCUCGGGACGGUCGUUGUUGCAGUACUUGGUGUGAACAGACCGAUUUGUGUUGUCGUGCAGGGGUUGGAUGCAUCGCACAGAUCGCACCUGGUAUCCUGUUUUCCCACAGCUCUUGCUGCAAGGCUCCCAUUCUCCUGUAACCCAUAUGGGCUGUGAGCACUCCUGGAGGUUGCACACCC
rnacentral:lncRNA from 1 species